UACGUAGGGGGCAAGCGUUGUCCGGAAUCAUUGGGCGUAAAGAGCGUGUAGGCGGCUCGAUAAGUCUGCUGUGAAAGUCCAGGGCUCAACCCUGGGAGGCCGGUGGAAACUGUCGGGCUAGAGUCCGGAAGAGGCGAGUGGAAUUCCCGAUGUAGCGGUGAAAUGCGCAGAUAUCGGGAGGAACACCAAUGGCGAAGGCAGCUCGCUGGGACGGUACUGACGCUGAGACGCGAAAGCGUGGGGAGCAAACAGG
rnacentral:rRNA from 1 species